rnacentral:rRNA from 2 species
GGAAACUCGGCUUAACCGAAGAAGUGCAUCGGAAACCGGGCGACUUGAGUGCAGAAGAGGACAGUGGAACUCCAUGUGUAGCGGUGGAAUGCGUAGAUAUAUGGAAGAACACCAGUGGCGAAGGCGGCUGUCUGGUCUGCAACUGACGCUGAGGCUCGAAAGCAUGGGUAGCGAACAGGAUUAGAUACCCUGGUAGUCCAUGCCGUAAACGAUGAGUGCUAGGUGUUGAUCGGGUUUCCGCCCUUCAGUGCCUGUUCUAACGCAUUAAUGCACUCCGCCUGGGGAGUACGACCGCAAGGUUGAAACUCAAAGGAAUUGACGGGGGCCCGCACAAGCGGUGAAGCAUGUGGUUUAAUUCGAAGCUACGCGAAGAACCUUACCAGGUCUUGACAUCUUGCGCUAACCUUAGAGAUAAGGCGUUCCCUUCGGGGACGUUAAUGACAGGUGGUGCAUGGUCGUCGUCAGCUCGUGUCGUGAGAUGUUGGGUUAAGUCCCGCAACGAGCGCAACCCUUGUUACUAGUUGCCAGCAUUAAGUUGGGGACUCUAGUGAGACUGCCGGUGACAAACCGGAGGAAGGUGGGGACGACGUCA